CCCGGCAAUGAAUUGCCGGGCUAUUCUCAGCCGUCCCUGCGGGACU
rfam:Desulfobacteraceae bacterium IS3 Ga0073107_10916, whole genome shotgun sequence.